AAGAGGACAAGAAAAGAUGUGUUCCCAUCCCUGACAUUUUCUGGUCCAGCAAGGACAAGCUGAAAAGCUGAUUAACAAGGUGCUUUGCACACCUCUACAUGGAACACUCUCCCCCAUCUCUCCAUUGGGACAACUCUUACUCUUUCCUGAUGUUCAUCUUAAAUGUCACUGCCUCAGAAAAGCUUCACCUGUUCUUUCAACCUAAAAUGCAGACAACCAAAGAGGUUUGAGAAAAUCUGCUGAUGCCCACCCAGCAUCCGGUUAAGCAGACAAGGUAUAGUAAACAAACCAACAGGAACAGGAAGAGAGUAGCUAUCUCAGAAUAUAGAUAUAAAUCAAUAUCUUCACAAAGUCACUCGUCCUUUCAAAAGCUUCAAAGAAGAACUUCUUCUCAUCUAUUUUAUCUCAUUUGUGCCCUACUUAAUAGAUAUUGAUUUGAUAGGCACGUGCCAUUU